rnacentral:rRNA from 1 species
UACGAAGGGGGCUAGCGUUGUUCGGAAUUACUGGGCGUAAAGCGCGCGCAGGCGGUCCUUCAAGUCAGAGGUGAAAGCCCAGAGCUCAACUCUGGAACGGCCUUUGAGACUAGAGGACUUGGGUACGGGAGAGGUGAGUGGAAUUCCGAGUGUAGAGGUGAAAUUCGUAGAUAUUGGGAAGAACACCGGUGGCGAAGGCGGCUCACUGGCUCAUUUCUGACGCUCAGGCGCGACAGCGUGGGGAUCAAACAGG